rnacentral:rRNA from 1 species
AAUAUUGGACAAUGGGCGAAAGCCUGAUCCAGCCAGGCCGCGUGUGUGAAGAAGGUCNNNGGAUUNUCAAGCACUUUAAGUUGNGAANAAGGGCAGUAAGUUAAUACCUUGCUGCUUUGCCGUUACCGACAGACUAAGCACCGGCUAACUUCGUGCCAGCAGCCGAGGUAAUACGAAGGGUGCAAGCGUGAAUCGGAAUUACGGGGCGUAAAGCGCGCGUGGGUGGUUCGUUAAGUUGGAAGUGAAAGCCCCGGGCUUAACCUAGGAAUUGCUUUCAAAACUGACGAGCUAGAGUACGGUAGAGGGUAGUGGAAUUUCCUGUGUAGCGGUGGAAUGCGUAGAUAUAGGAAGGAACAUCAGUGGCGAAGGCGACUACCUGGACUGAUACUGACACUGAGGUGCGAAAGCGUGGGGAGCAAACAGG